CUUACUUAAUACACACACUAUUAUCCUCGAAACAAUUACUUAUUCUCACGCCAGAGGGUGGUUACAAGGAGAACUCCCCUGUUCUCCUCCUUACGGUGUGUUGAUUGUUUGCAGGAUCAUCAUCGCUGUUUAGACGAGAACGAAGGAAGAUUAACCUUGUUUAGACGAGACACAAACCACAAGCUACUCACCAGAUUAGUUUGGUGUUUCUUCAGGGGGUUCGUCCGACUGUAGUUUGGGAGUUUGCUUGAGCGCAAGCAAUCUUCAAGUGUGGUGAUAUUUGAUAUAUUACAAAUUAAUAUAUAUUUUAUAAACGGUGAUCCCAAGCUCAGAUGUAGAAAAGAGUAGAAGUCAAGUGUAGAAGAACAUACAAACCGGCAUGAGGAGAUACAAUCCAUGUUGAUGACAUUACAAAGUUUAGUUAAUCACCACCAUACCUACUAAGACACACCAAUAUGGCCUUGUAUGUCAGAGGCGGAGAUUCUAAUAUGAGGUUGACCACCGGUCCACCUCCUUUUAGCAAGUGAAAAUGGUCAUAUUAGUGGACAUACGGUCCGUAUGUCGAGCAAUGAGGAAAUUGAUGUGUCUGAUAGCCAUGUUUUUCUAAUAUAAAAAGACCCAUGUUUAGUA